CAGCAGCCGCCGCGGUAAUACGAGGGGGGCAAGCGUUGUUCGGAUUUAUUGGGCGUAAAGGGUGCGUAGGCGGUUUGAUAAGUCUGAUGUGAAAUCUAUGGGCUCAACCCAUAGUCUGCAUUAGAAACUGUCGGGCUUGAGUAUGGGAGAGGUGAGUGGAAUUUCCGGUGUAGCGGUGAAAUGCGUAGAGAUCGGGAGGAACAUCAGUGGCGAAGGCGGCCAUCUGGGACAACACUGACGCUGAGGCACGAAAGCGUGGGGAGCAAACAGGAUUAGAUACCCCAGUAGUCCCUGUCUCUUAUAC
rnacentral:rRNA from 1 species